UAGACCAAUGUAGGUAAGGGAAGUCGGCAAAACGGAUCCGUAACCUUGGGAAAAGGAUUGGCUCUGAGGGCUGAGCCGGUCGGGCUGGGGUCCAAAAGAUGCUAUCCCGAUGCUGCUGUGCAGCCUGGGAUAGCAUCUUUUGGGAUAGAGCAAUUAACUAAAAUAUAGAGAACUGACAAGGUCGGCACGAUUGUGUUUACAGAGGCAGUUAACAGGAUGGAUACGUGGUUAGUUCCUACUGCAUUUUUA
rnacentral:rRNA from 1 species